rnacentral:lncRNA from 1 species
GGACUUGCCUUAGGUCCCAUGUCCUCCCUGACCACUGAUGGCCUGACUCCCCCUCACAGGUGGGGCUGCGGGACGUUAAUGACUACGUGUCCUAUGCCUGGGUCGGGGACAGCAAGGUCUCCUGCAGCGACAACCUGAACCAGGUACGUCACCAGCACCAGGUACAUCACCAGCAGGCAGGCCUGCCUCAGCACUCCUGUCUUGUGGAAGGAACAGAGUGCUGAAUAACUUGUCACUCAGAGCUGGGUGGAGCCCAGAGCCCUGGAGCUGACCCCAGUCCUGUCCAUCCCCCUCCAGGUUUACAUCGACAUCAGCAAUAUCCCUACCACUGAAGAUGAGUUUCUCCUCUGUUACUACAGCAACAGUCUGCGUUCUGUGGUGGGGAUAAGCAGACCCUUCCAGAUCCCGCCUGGCUCCUUGAGGGAGGACCCACUGGGUGAAGCACAGCCACAGAUCUGAGCCAGGAUGGGAGUGAAUCCCAG